GCCAUGGCUGCUGCGCUAACGCUCGUAGUCUGAUGUCAUGGGGAAUGGACGUGGGCGAGCACUCUGCGCUUUGCUUGGUCGUCUUUGGGCGGACUUGGAUGUAUCCUGUUACUUUUUAGAUAGUCGGUGGGGGAUACCCAUCGUGCUUGAAUACUGCUUAUGUGAUAAUGGAAUGCUAAUCCCGUCGAAUUUUGUAGGUUGGGAUAUGUGAAUAAGAAUUAGUAACUAUUUUGGUGGGUUGUGUUAUUCAGUAAUGAUAAAUGAAGAUCGUGGGUGGUAUGCAUAUUCCCUUGUGCGAAGUGAUUUUCUUGGAAUGCCUGAGGACAUACUACUGCGAAAGCAUUUAAUCAAGAAGUAUUCAUUACUCACGAACUAAUGUCAAGGGAUCAUGCAUAAUUAGAUUCCGUCGAAGACUUAAACAUAAACUAUGCCGACUCUGGACUGGAUGUUGUUUUUUGACUCCUUCAGCGACGAAGGACAAAUCGAAGACUUUGGGUUCCAGUGGGAGUAUGGUCCCAAGGCUGAUGCAUACAGAAAUUGACUGAGAGUCAACACCAGAAGUGGAACCUGCGGCUUACUUUGACUCGAUUGAGGAAAACUUACCUCGUCCAGACAUAGUGAGGAUUGACAGAUUGAGAGUUCUUUCUUGAUUCAAUGAUUGGUGGGCAUGGCCCGAUCUUAGUUGGUGGAGUGAUUUGUCUGGUUAAUUCCGCUGAUGACGAGACCGCCGCCUGCUAAAAGCUCUGCUGUGGUUUUUCAUUGGAACUAGCUUCUAUAGGGACGUUCAUACUUACUAAAAGGAUGAGGAUGGCGGCCAUAACACGUCUGUGAUGCCCUUAGUGUCCUGGGCCCCACGCGCGUUACACUGAUGCGCGCAACGACCAUAUGACCUUGACCGACCGGUCUGGGUAAUCUUGUUCACCUGCAUCUUGAUAGGGAUAGAUUAUUGCAUUUGAAUCGUGAACGACCAAUUCCUUGUAAUCGCCGUUCGUCAACUCCACUGAUUACAUCGCUGACCUUUGUACCCGCAGCUCGUAUCACCUACAAAUGGAAUGGUGCGGAGACGGACUCAGAUUGGGGUUUGGCUCCUUCACUGGGGCCUGACCGCGUGACCUUAGGCAACCUUCUCAUUGAACAG
rnacentral:rRNA from 1 species